rnacentral:rRNA from 1 species
CAAUACCGGGUGGCGACCGGCGCACGGGUGAGUAGCACGUAUCCAACCUGCCGAUAACUCGGGGAUAGCCUUUCGAAAGAAAGAUUAAUACCCGAUGGCAUAAUAGAACCGCAUGGUUUGAUUAUUAAAGAAUUUCGGUUAUCGAUGGGGAUGCGUUCCAUUAGUUUGUUGGCGGGGUAACGGCCCACCAAGACUACGAUGGAUAGGGGUUCUGAGAGGAAGGUCCCCCACAUUGGAACUGAGACACGGUCCAA